CCUACGGGUGGCAGCAGUGGGGAAUAUUGGACAAUGGGGGGAACCCUGAUCCAGCGACGCCGCGUGAGUGAAGAAGUAUUUCGGUAUGUAAAGCUCUAUCAGCAGGGAAGAAAGGAAUGACGGUACCUGAAUAAGAAGCCCCGGCUAACUACGUGCCAGCAGCCGCGGUAAUACGUAGGGGGCAAGCGUUAUCCGGAUUUACUGGGUGCAAAGGGAGCGUAGACGGUUACGCAAGUCUGGAGUGAAAGGCGGGGGCCCAACCCCCGGACUGCUUUGGAAACUGUAUAACUGGAGUGCAGGAGAGGUAAGUGGAAUUGCUAGUGUAGCGGUGAAAUGCGUAGAUAGUAGGAGGAACACCAGUGGCGAAGGCGGCUUACUGGACUGUAACUGACGUUGAGGCUCGAAAGCGUGGGGAGCAAACAGGAUUAGAUACCCCGGUAGUC
rnacentral:rRNA from 1 species